ensembl:lncRNA
CCAGAACCAAUCCUGGAUGAAAUUGCCUUGAAAAGGUUGCUGGACACUCCAGCAGAGAGCAGGGAAGCAGUAAAAGCUGUGCCAGGUGUGACUUCAGCCAAGAAAACCCCAAAGCUGAAAUCCCAACCUGUGGAAGACAUGGUCGGGAUCAGCCGCAUUUUCCAGACACCAAAGGAGAAGGUUGAGCCCAUAGGAGACAUGUUUGGAAUCAGCAGAUUAAUGAAGUCUCCUAGAGAGAAAUAUCAACCAGUUGAGGAUUUUGUGGGACUGCAAAGGCUUAUGGCAGAACCCAGGCAGAAACCACCUGAUUCUGACGUGGACUAUGCUGGAGUGACUGAAAUGUUUGGGACCCCAGAGGAAAUGAAGGUCAGAUCAGUAAAUAUUAUGGAUUCUCAGGAAGAAAUUGCACCUCCUGGUUCUAAUUCCAGUCAUAAAUAUGAAAAGGAAGGAGAAGUUUCCCAAGGUGAAGAUUCUCAAGAGAAGAACUCAGCUGGUGAAGAGCAGCCUACCCAGAGAGCCAGAAGGGGCAGGCCAAGGAAGGCUGUACCUCCUGCUGCAGCAAAACCAAGUGAAAAUGGUGUGAGUUUAAAGGAGUUGGAGAGUCCUGAUACCCAAGAGGAGAUGGGAGUGAUCACACAUGAAAACAAAAGCAGAGGAAGGAGGGCAAAGCGUUGCAUACAAGAAGUUGUUCCAAAGUGCCCUGAUCAGGAAGGGCUUGACAUUGUUUCAUCUGUGGAACCACCUGGUGCUGCUCAGAAGUCAGGAAGAGGUAAAAGGCAAAAGCUGAAGGAGUUAAAACAUCCAAAUGAAAGUCUUGAGUUUUGUGUUGAAGAUUCUUCACUGCUACAAAAAGCACCUGCAAAUAGCAAACAGAGUUUGCAGGACUGUGGCACCAAUGAAACUGAAGAUGAUCCAGGCAUAAAGACAGGACCUGGAAACAUUCAGAAUGAAAUUUGUCAGCUGCAAACAGGUUUAAAUCAUCCUGACAGCAAAGCUAAUGACAGUGGGAUAGAGGACAGUGAAGAAGAGCUCCUGUCACUGAGGAGGAGGCACAGAGGGGUGGAGAACACAGAGCCAGUGAUUCCAGCAAAAAGAGGGAGACGAGCAAGGAAUGACCAAGGAAAAGCAGCUUCUCCAGGAGACCUUUGUGGAACAACCAGAAAUCUUCGUAAAGACCCAUCCCCAAAUGUUACACAAAGACAGGAACAGGAUUGUGACAGAGCUCCUGAGGCUGUCACAGCACAAGAAUCUGAAAAUGGCACUAAACUUGAGCUGAAGGCAACAAAGAGAAGAGUUAAGUCUUUCAGAAGUACUAGAAACAGAAAGCAGUCAGCUGAAAUAAAAGCAGACACUCGUGGGGUCGCACUUGAAAAUACACAACACGUUCAAAAAACUGAGGAAACAUCAACUGAAACUGAUGCUGAAACACAAUCCCACGUGAAAAAUGAGAUGAAAGGAUCUCAGGGAUGUGAAACAGAAAAUGCUCAGGAAAAUACAACAGAGGCAGCUCAGAGAUUACAGGCAGAGUCACCUUCUGCAGAGACAAACAAAAUGCCAGUCAGUGCUCAGAACAUGGAAACAACCAGGGCUAGAAACAGGAGAGGCAAAAAAGACUCUCUGGAGCAAAAAGCUGAUGAGUUUACUGAAAAUGUGAGCAGCCUAAAACAAAUUACUCCCAAAUUUAAGUCAGAAACAGAAGUGGAUGAAUCUUCUCCCCAGGAUUCCUGGGGCUCUGUUUGUGCCAGUGCAGCCCAAGGCAAGGAGGAGCAGCCCAGCCCAGGUGCCACAUCCGUCCCUGCUGCAGACAGUGCCAGUCCUGCUCAGGGCAGUCACAGGAAGACGAGAAAUGAGUGGGGAGUACUUAAAGCAAAGCAAACUGAAAUCCUGCAGAGGAAUCCAGCACAAAGAAAUGCAGUCAUGUGUAGAAGAGGAAGAGGUAAAAAAGUCAAUUUUCAGCUUGAGGAAGGCAGUUCCAAAGUGACUGAAGGAAAAGGUUUACCUGAGGGUGAUGAAGGGAUGGCUGACAAAGAUAAUCAACGUGAGAAUUCCGAAAAUCCUCCUUCACGGGGAAGGAGGGGCAGGAGAAAACAACUUGAUUCCAUCCCACAAAAAGCUAGUCCUGCCUUUAUGGAAAAACAAACAUUAAGUGCAGAUCACAGGGAAGAUGAGGCUGUUGUGCAAGAGCAAGAAUCAGUUUUGGAAGCUGCUCCCACUUCAGCAGAGGACAAUCCACCGAGACGGGGGAGGAGGCGUCAGGUGGCUGCAGCAUCACAGACCAGAUCUCCUUCUGUCAGAACGAGACGUGGGGUGCUGGAAGGUGAUGCUAAAAAGACAGCAGAGAGAGAAGAUGAAAAUCCAGCUCUGGGUAAUAAAACUUUACAGGCAAAAGUGAAUUCAUCAGCGAGGGACAGAAGGAAAAAGAUGGAUCCGGCAGCAGAGGGAAGUUUAUCUCCUCUCCAGAGAAAGUGUGGCUUGUCAGAGGCUAAAGAUGAGGGUACUCAUGAAGAACAAAGUGUGCCUGUGGCAGAGGUGUCCUGUGCAAAGGAGGAGCCACCAGGGAGGGGCAGAAGGAAAGAAACUGCUGUGGCAUCACACACAACCAAUCCCAUCUCUCUCAGAGGGAAACGCGGGCUGCCGGCAGGUGAUGGAGCAGAGGCUCCCAAAGAAGAGCAGAAUGUUCCCUUAGAAAUGUGUGAUCCAUCCAGGAAGGAAACUCAACUGAGAAGAGGCAGGAGGAAGGAAAUUACCCCCUUGAUAGAAGCCCAAAGUUCUCUUCAGGGAAACCAGGUCCUGUCAAAACGAGGUGGUAGAAAAAGUAACGACAGGGAAGAUAAACAGAGCAGGGACAAUUCUUCCCAAGAAAAUACUGAUUUUGUAAAAGGCAGCUCAAGGCAAGCAACCACUUCACUGGCUCUUAGUCCCACCUCCCUUCAAGGCUUGCCAGAAGAUGGUAAAGAUGGAAUUCCUGAACAACAAAGUCAACUUUUGGAAGUAGCUCCACCUGCAAAAGAAAAUCCAUCAAGAGUGGGCAGGAAGAAAACAACUUCUUCCGCUUCUGAAGAAACAAUUUCCACUUCUCUCAGGGGAAAACCCAACCUGCCCAGAGGCAGAGGUCAGAAGAGGAUUCUUAAAGGAGGUGAAGAUGCAUCUCCAGAAAAUAAUCCGUGCCAGGGAAGAACAAGGCAGUUGAGGAAUAAUAGGAGGAAGGUGGAAUUUCUAUUAGAGGCAGCUGCUUCUACCUCUCCCCAUAAAAGCAGUGACUUGCCAGAAAAUGGCAACACUCUGGAAACUCAGGAUUUGAGUGGAGCAUCCACUGGUUCUGAAGAGAAUCAGUCUGGAAAAGGCCAGGAGGGUGACCCUGCUCCACAGGCAGCCCCCACCUCUCGCAGAAGGAAAUGCCAGGUACCAGCAGAGGAUGUGGCACCCAAAAAACCAAAAUCAGGGAAUGAUGAAAAUGGGUCUCUACAAAGAGGAAGAAGAAACAAAACUAAAGUUGGAGAAGAGGAUGCAAGGGCAGCUCAGACCACUGGAGGGAUGGAGAGGAGGACAAGAUCCAGCACAAGAACAAGGAAACAGCCUUAAGAGUCCCAGAACCAAUUCUUAAAUCAAUUCAAUAAUUCCAAUUACAGCUCGUUUUUAAUGUGAAUUGAUUUGCACUCAGAUUUUAAGCUCAGAUUUUUGAUAAUUCUAUGGUUGCUUUGCAAAAUGUAUUUCUUAAUGUAUUUACAGAUAGAAGGUAGGUAUUUCUUCAGUAGCUUUGCCAACGUGUGGUGGUUCCUAAACCAUGGGGUGCUUGUGCAAAGCUGUAAACAUAAAAUACAAUUUGUUAAACCAGUGUUCCUCCCCUUUUUCCUGUUGAUCAGUAAAACAAUCAGGAAGCCAUGUUACUUCCAGCUCAAGCUAUUUUCUGCUGAAAUUUUCCUAUGCUGAAGUUUUUAUUUUUUAUCUGAGUUUUGUAAAUAUUCUUUUUAAAAGAUACUAGUUGUAUUAGCAGAAAUAUUAUGAUAAACUUGUGAUAAUUUUUUUUUAAAAAAAAUGAAGCUUGUAUUACAAAAUGCAGGUUUUGAAGUCAUUAAACUUGUAAACAAUUUGGGACUUGUGUGGUUUUUUGGUUUUAAGGAUGCAGUUGCUGCUGAGUUCAUUUCUAAGGUUCAUUCUCUGUGGUGGAUGUGGUUUGGAGACAGAACUUUUAGGACCUUUUACAGAUAAUUUGUCUUCAAGGCUGGGGGUUUCUUAAAUGCAGGAACAAAAAAUUCAGCCUGGGCAUCAAACUUGAGUGCAGUUUUUAAAUCUGAGUUAAAAUCCUUUGUUUCUGUGGUGUGUGAGGAGUCAGGGAUGUUUCUGCAGCAGAGCACUCGGAAUUGGAGCUGUAAAAAGGUUGGAAAAGACUCCAAACCUCAGAUGUGAUGUAAUAUUUUUAUUUUUUUUAAUUUAAGUUGGAUUUUUUGCUUGUUUGUUUUUACAAUGUUUUGUACCCAUAUCCACAGAGGGUUUUUAUUGAAUGAUAAUGCACUUUUUAAAAAAAUCUACUUAAUUCUAGUGUGAAAAUUGCUGUCUGUCCAUUCCUCCAGGGUUGCUCCAU